UACGUAGGUGACCAGCGUUGUCCGGAUUUACUGGGCGUAAAGAGCGCGCAGGCGGUCGUUCAAGUCGAGUGUGAAAGCCCCCGGCUCAACUGGGGAGGGUCAUUCGAUACUGAUCGACUCGAAGGCAGGAGAGGGAAGUGGAAUUCCCGGUGUAGUGGUGAAAUGCGUAGAUAUCAGGAAGAACACCCGUGGCUAAGGCGGCUCUCUAGUACGGUACUGACGCUGAGACGCGAAAGCGUGGGGAGCGAACAGG
rnacentral:rRNA from 1 species